GACGAACGCUGGCGGCGUGCUUAACACAUGCAAGUCGAACGAAGUGGCGAACGGUUGAGUAAUACGUGAGUAACCUGCCCUCCUUUUUGGGAUAAGCAUUGGAAACGGGGUCUAAUACCGAAUAAAGGGGGAUGGGCUCGCGGCCUAGCAGCUUGUUGGUGGGGUGAUGAGCUACCAGAGCGGUGACGGGUAGCCGGCCUGGGAGGGUGACCGGCGACAUUGGGACUGGGAUACGGCCCAGACGUCUGCGGGAGGCAGCAGUGGGGGAUAUUGGACAAUUGGCGAAAGCCUGAUGCAGCGACGCCGCGUGGGGGAUGAAGGCUUUCGGGUUGUAAACCUCUUUCGAUAACGAGCGGGUAGGUGGAGAAGAAGCGCCGGCUAACUACGUGCCAGCAGCCGCGGUAAUAC
rnacentral:rRNA from 1 species